GAUGAACGCUGGCGGCGUGCCUAACACAUGCAAGUCGAACGAACAGACGAGGAGCUUGCUCCUUUGACGUUAGCGGCGGGCGGGUGAGUAACACGUGGAUAACCUACCUAUAUGACUGGGAUAAUUUCGGGAAACCGGAGCUAAUAACGGAUAAUAUAUUGAACCGCAUGGAUCAAUAGUGAAAGACGGCUUUGCUGUCACUUAUAGAUGGAUCCGCGCCGCAUUAGCUAGUUGGUAAGGUAACGGCUUACCAAGGCGACGAUGCGUAGCCGACCUGAGAGGGUGAUCGGCCACACUGGAACUGAGACACGGUCCAGACUCCUACGGGAGGCAGCAGUAGGGAAUCUUCCGCAAUGGGCGAAAGCCUGACGGAGCAACGCCGCGUGUGUGAUGAAGGCCUUCGGGUCGUAAAGCUCUGUUAUUGGGGAAGAACAGAUUUGUAAGUAACUAUGCCCGUCUUGACGGUACCUAAUCAGAAAGCCACGGCUAACUACGUG
rnacentral:rRNA from 1 species